rnacentral:rRNA from 1 species
GAUGAACGCUGGCGGCGUGCCUAACACAUGCAAGUCGAACGGAGUUCUUAAGGAAUGCGGCUUCGGUCAAAUGACUUUUGAACUUAGUGGCGGACGGGUGAGUAACGCGUGAGCAACCUGCCUUUCAGAGGGGGAUAACAUUUGGAAACAGAUGCUAAUACCGCAUAAGAUUACAGUACCGCAUGAUACAGUGAUCAAAGGAGCAAUCCGCUGAAAGAUGGGCUCGCGUCCGAUUAGAUAGUUGGUGAGGUAACGGCUCACCAAGUCGACGAUCGGCAGCCGGACUGAGAGGUUGAACGGCCACAUUGGGACUGAGACACGGCCCAGACUCCUACGGGAGGCAGCAGGUGGGGAAUAUUGCACAAUGGGACGAAAGCCUGAUGCAGCAACGCCGCGUGAGGGAAG